rnacentral:tRNA from 1 species
AUGCACUUAGCUUAGUGGUUAAGGUGUUGGAUUCAUGAUCCUAAGAUUGUGGUUUCAAUUCCUGCACUGGGUA